AUACAUACAUGUGUAUGUAUGUAUAUACACACAUGUGUAUGUAUGUAUAUACACACGUGUGUGUGUGUAUGUAUGUAUAUACACACAUGUGUAUGUAUGUAUAUACACACGUGUAUGUAU